UGGCUAAAAUAAUUGUUGUUUAAGAAGGUUGUUUGUAGAGCCAAAUUUAACUUUGGAAUAUUAGAUGUGAUUGGGCCCAAUGCAGCUAUCACGAUUUCCUUGUGAGGUCAGAUGAGAACUUCAAUGUUCUAGCAUGGUGGAAGAAGAAUUCAGAUGCAUAUCCAGUCUUGUCUUUGAUGGCUAGAGAUUUCCUCUCUAUCCCUGUGAGCACAGUGUCCUCAGAGUCUGCAUUUAGUGCUGCUGGAAGAAUCCUUGGUAAAGAUUGGACUUCACUCUCCCCUGAAACUCUUGAAGCCCAAAUUUGUACUAUAGAUUGGUUGAUUGGAUUCAAUGAUGAAGAGGAAGGCGAACCAAUGAGUGGAAAAAGGAUGUUCGGUUCAGAUGAUGAGUGAAGGCCCUUUGCAUAAGGCUCCUUAUUUUUCAGGCUCUAUGUUGCGUAUUCUACUUCUGGCUAAGAUACAUGCUUACUGGAUGGUACAAAUGAUGACUUGCAGAAGACAUCUGUCGCUCUACUUAUCACAAAAAUCAGCGGCGUCUGAUAACUGCCAGUUCCAUCGACAUAUUUGUAGACUAACUGUUGACAGUUUAUUUGGUUACUCAUUGUUGACAGUUAUUUUGUUUGCUAUUUAUUUGUGACGUGUGGUGGCUGGUAAUAACCUGAUAUGUAUAUUUGUUUUGUUGAGCCACGCUGGCUUGUACUGUUGGUGGCAGAAUGGCAGCUCACGGGCUGCGAGGUCAUCCAUUGCUCUGCUCACGGCAUAUGCCAAUC